rnacentral:lncRNA from 1 species
CUCUUUUUCUUUCUCUUUUUAUGGCUGCACCCUCAGAUUAUGGAAGUUCCCAGGCUCAGGGUCAAAUCAGAGCUUCAGCUGCCAGCCUAAACUAUAGCCACAGCCACACUAAUGCAGGAUCUGACCUAUGUUGCAACUUGCAACAAUGCUGGAUCCUUUAACCCAACGAUCGAGGCCAGGGAUUAAACCUGCAUCGUCGUGGACACUAUGUCAGGUUCUUAACCCGCUGAACCACAACAGGAACUCCUUUAUAUUUUCAAUUAGGAAGACCACUGUGCUUUGUCUGAAUUUUUCUUUGCUGUGCUAUAGUUUCAAAAUGACCACCAGAUAAUAGCUCCUUGCCAUCUGCUUCUCCAACUUCAGCUUCAGGAACCUACUUUGGUUUUCGGGUGACCAAGAAAAUUUCUCCCUUUCUCAAAAGAAGAGUCAACCACACAGCGUACGUGCCUCACCAAGGAAUUCAUCUGAAUUUCUAGAUCUCUUGCUUACUUAGAGACAGAACUCAAUUAAUUAUGUGCCAAUUAGUUAUUAGUUGCCUAAGAAAUUGCAAAAGACUAUGCCCCAGGCUUUGAUGGAGCACAGUUUCUUAGUGCAGUUUCUCAAAAUAUAAAUCAAGGGCAAAGGUUUAUAAUCAAAUUUCAUAAGUUUAGAAAUCAGUUUUGCUUUGAAAUCAACAUAAUUUGAUCUCAGGCAUUUCUUGGGACUAGAGGAAACAUUUUUACUUCAUGUUGUUUGCCUAAAAAGAAGAGUCAAAAAAACAAAAACUCUCUGGAAGAUCUACAUUCCCCAGAUUCAUCUUAACUAGUGAAGAUGAACGAAAACAUCUGUCCAGUCCCCUCUUUAAAGAUCUUCGUAGGAGGAAUUCUGGGCAUGUGAAAGGAGUCAAGGUCACAGUGUAGGCCUCCGUCUACCAUCCUGCCAGGUCUGCAAGGAACUCAGGGCGUUGCAAGGAACUCAGUUCUGGCGUCCUGCUAAGGAUAAGUAGAAGGCAUUGACUCUUCACUAUGUGGUUGCUUUCAACAAAAUUUAUGAGAAAGCAAAAGGAAGUUUCUAAACUACUGCCAGAUGGCAAGAACUUGGAGCACUGAAAUGAGACUAAAACCCAAUCAGAAAGAAGCAUAACCUAUUUAGGACAAGACAUCGGGCCUCUUGUGAAACUGAAGCAUUUCCAAAUCUUCUGUAAAGACAUAAAGUCUGACCAGACAAAAUUAUUUCCUAGGUGUAACAUUCAGAAAUCAAAGUCAUACCUGAGUGACAACAGUCUCCCAUUUGCUGUCUGUUCUUUGUUCUUAAGUGAGUUUCUUCUCUGUUGAAGCUGCUUUUGAAGAAUC